rnacentral:lncRNA from 1 species
GUAGAGCAAAGUCAUAAGCAAUAUAUUGAAGUAGAACAAAGUCAUAUUCAUAAUAUUGAAGAACAAAGAUUAUUAGAAGAACAAUUAGAAGCACAAUUAGAGAAUUACCAAGAAUCCUCUUGACAGAUCUGGAAACCAAUCGAAGAUUGACUCCUUCUAGUUCUAAUCCUAUGUGGCUAUGCUAAUCUAGAUGUCUAAUUGAUGUGGUGGCUCUAGGCUUGAUCAGAGGCUUUUCUCCCUUGAGGAAUAAUGAAUUAUGGUUGAGAGGCUCUCUCCUCCAGGGGCCAGGGGGUCUGGUUUUAUAGUCCCUUCAAGUGAAUAUGGGCCGUUGGAUCAAACUGACAUUGAUUGAACGGUUAUCCUUGAUCCUUUAGGUCGGUGGAGAUUGAUCCCGAAAGAGAGUCCUGAUCCAACUCAGAGAGGAGGCGGGCGCCCAGGGCAACUGGGCGGGCGCCCAGGGCCUGGCCCCGUUCGGCCUCCGCUUCCUUCCCGUGGCUUCUAGAGUCUUCUAGAUGUAAGAUAAUUGCGCGGCACGUUGAUAUCUCUAUGUAAUCCUGACGUGUGGGCCUUUCUUCCGUAUUUCCUGAUAACCCCUAUAGAAAUAGACAAACACCAAAACUCGUGGAAUUCUGUCAGAUAAAACCCUAAGUCUAGAUCUUGAUUUCAUUUGGAUCCUUUUCUUUGUUUAUUUGAUAAUUAAAUUUGAUACUUAAGGACCGUCAACAAUAUCAUACCAUGAAAAUUGCUCAGUUCAAGUAAACAACAAAUUUAAUGUAAAUAUACCUCCCAAAAAAGAUGUACCAUGCCCAACAGGUGUGUUGCAUUGUUGUUCAUGUGGCACAUGCACAUUCAUCGCUGCACUAGUACCGCAACCGCAACGAGCUGCAUCACGUCGUAGCCUACAUGCUUGCCU